CCACAGCUUAUGCUAAGCAGCCUGUGUGGACUAAGAAAGCCCUCGGCAGAGGCCAAGCAUAUUAAACCCCAGAUUCAUCUUUUUGACACGUAGGCCCCAGAGGCACCAUAAAAUUGGCCAAAGAAAUUUCUUCUUCUUUUUUGCUACGCUAGUUUUUCUCUUUCUAUAUCCCGGUAGAAAGUUAAGAAGGAUCGAUCUUAAAACCACAGAAAAUAAGACAGUACAUCUCUAGAAAUAAUAGCCCCAGUGCUUCAGGGCGAGGAAGUGUAGUGCUGGCUGGAACCUCACUAGCGACGGAGACACAAAACAAUUUGAAACGUGAAGCAUCUAGAGGGUGAACGGGAAAGCUGAGUUGGCUAUGCGGAAUUCUCGGGGAACGUAGAAGGUGAAGGAUUAAAGCCAGUCAUAGAGAAACUAAUUACUGUGCUCCAGGAUACAUGACUUUAACUUUGGAGAUAGUAAAUCAUCAACGCAUAGACCUAGGCCUGGAAUUUGUUGAUAAUUUCACUCACAAACACAUAACCUGUGUGAUCCAUAUUCUGUAAGUGCCAGUUAUAUAAAAUGAGCAUGUUUUAAAUGGUCCUGCUUCUGCAUAACAAAGCAAACGAAUGGCAGUGACUAAAGUAUCAUGCAAGACGCACGGAUAUAGUAAUAAUGACAUAGCCAUGGAGCAUGCUGUGGGCCGGGCUCCACUCUGGGUUGAUGGCCACCAACACAGAGCCAGCUCACACAGGUAGCACGUUCCUCACUAUCCAGGGGAAAUGAGGUGGUACUGCCUUAAUGACUUACCCAGUCCACACAGCUAAGGAGGAGCAGGAGGUCCACUUCACACUCUCAGAUGCCACAACGUAACUGACCAAUCGCUUCUGUGUCUGACCGGUCCUCAGGACAGGCUUUACAGAAAAGGGGACACUUUGCAAGUGUGCAUGACAUGCUUGGCUUACGACCAUCUCACUGCAAAGGUUUCCUAAUGCAGCGUGAACUAAAGACAACCCUCUUUCCACCAUUCAUUCGCCAAAUACCGACUAUCCCCUAACGAUUCCCAGUGGCAUACACGCCACAGGGCGAACUGAAAACUGUCCUAAGAGUCUGUCCAUAGUGGUGAUAAUAGCAACACACAAACAUAGACUAGGGUGGUGAUAAUAGCAACACACAAACAUAGACUAGGGUGGUAAUGGGGGAAGAAAAGCAAAACACUGAAACAGGAAUUCACAUUCACUAAGGGUAAGGAAGUGUAGGAAAAGUGGUUCGAAAAGUGUUCUGGAAGGAUACGGUACUCAGGUAAAGAUCCCAGGAAGGGUGAGGAUCUUUGCAGUCCUCAUUAGUGCAAUAAAUGACCUCAUAGUUGCAGCCCAAACCAAUACCAACCAAUGCCUAACCCAUCCAGGGGUUUAUUGUGAAGGUCAAAUGAGGCAAAGGCAUGGUGUACUUAGCAUAGUGCCGGAGUCAGUGAGAACUCCAUGAAUGGCCGCUAGCCGCUGUGAAUCCAUGAAUGGGACCACUCCUGUCCACUUGUGUGGAGAAUUUGACAUAUUUACUGAAGUAACUGCUUCUAACAUGACAGGCGAGGCAAUACAAUUUAGAUCUGAAGUAUGACAACACCAUAAGAGACCCUCCCCUGGCUUAAAAAGACCUCUCCAUGCAGACUCCACGAAAAGAAUUUGGUACCGGUCAUGUGCCAAGCACAUGUGUGUGGAAAUCAAUACCAGCUUCAUGGACGAGCAUCUGAGGUGAUCCACCCUUUUUAAGCACAGUGACCCAACCAGCAGUGGCAGUAACUCUGACCAUGUCUCAGGGAAGGAGGACUUUACUGCCUAUGAUGAGUGAAGCAAAAUAAAUAACCGAGCUAAGAGUGAAAAGGAUGUUGGCCCAUUCAAAGCUCUGCCAGGAGAUCAUUCUUUAAAAUGGUUGUGGUCGUUUGAAAUAAAUCCGUCCACCCUU